rnacentral:rRNA from 1 species
CCCUUAGAUGUUCAGGGCCGCACGCGUGCUACACUGAGUGGAUCAGCGGGUCAGGUUGCGCGAAAGCGUUUCCUAAUCUUUAAAUCCGCUCGUGAUGGGGAUUGACGGUUGCAAUUUUCUGUCAUGAACGAGGAAUACCUUGUAAGCGCGGGUCAUCAUCCCGCGCUGAAUACGUCCCUGCCCUUUGUACACACCGCCCGUCGCUCCUACCGAUUGAGUGGUCCGGUGAGGCUUUGGGAUCUGAGCGGAAAGAGCGUUUCGCUGUUUCUGCUCGGAAAACUCAGUCGAACCUUAUCAUUUAGAGGAAGGAGAAGUCGUAACA